ACGCCUAAUACAUGCAAGUCGAACGGAGUAGCAAUACUUAGUGGCAGACGGGUGAGUAACAUGUGGGUAUCUUCCCUUUGGUGAGGAAUAACACGAGGAAACUUGUGCUAAUACCUCAUAAGUCUUUACGGAGAAAGCUUUAUGCGCCAAUGGAUGAGCCUGCACUUGAUUAGUUUGUUGGUAGGGUAAUGGCCUACCAAGACUGUGAUCAAUAGCUGAUUUGAGAGGAUGAUCAGCCACAUUGGGACUGAGACACGGCCCAAACUCCUACGGGAGGCAGCAGUAGGGAAUCUUGCACAAUGGAGGAAACUCUGAUGCAGCGAUGCCGCGUGAGUGAAGAAGGCCCUUGGGUUGUAAAGCUCUUUCGUCGGGGAAGAAAAUGACUGUACCCGAAUAAGAAGGUCCGGCUAACUUCGUGCCAGCAGCCGCGGUAAUACGAAGGGACCUAGCGUAGUUCGGAAUUACUGGGCUUAAAGAGUUCGUAGGUGGUUAAAAAAGUUGGUGGUGAAAGCCCAGAGCUUAACUCUGGAACUGCCAUCAAAACUUUUUAGCUAGAGUUUGAUAGAGGAAAGCAGAAUUUCUAGUGUAGAGGUGAAAUUCGUAGAUAUUAGAAAGAAUACCAAUUGCGAAGGCAGCUUUCUGGAUCAUUACUGACACUGAGGAACGAAAGCAUGGGUAGCGAAGAGGAUUAGAUACCCUCGUAGUCCAUGCCGUAAACGAUGUGUGUUAGAUGUUGGAAAUUUAUUUUCAGUAUCACAGCGAAAGCAAUAAACACACCGCCU
rnacentral:rRNA from 1 species